UUCCAGUGACCUCAGCUCAUUUCUUAAACAUCGCAAACAUUUUCUCGUUGAUAUGUGCAAGAGAUUGCAUAAGUUGAACAAGAAAGUUAGACCUGCGAAGGUGAGAGAAAGCCACUGACUGGUCUCUGAGAGAUACAUUGUUGAAAUGUUACAUUAGCCAUCUAUAAUGCUCAGGAAACCUAGGGUCUCCCCUCCCCCCAGCAGAAUAGAUUUGCAUCCCACAGAACCUUGAGAAAACAUGUAUCCUAGCUAUUUACUCUCUGGGAAUGUAAACAGAGACAGCAGUGUCUUGACCACAAUAGUGGUGUGUUGUGGAGAUGGCUAGUGAAAUAAUGGAGGCAGUCAGAUCAGGCUGGGGUAGAGGAGAAAGGAAGCAGCCGGCUCUUAAACAGGCCACAUCCCAUCAGCACUGCCCUCUCCCCAACCACCCUCUGUACGCCAUUAGAUAGGCAGGGGGUGUGGCUUCCAGGAAGGACUAUAGUAAUAGAUUGAUCAUGAAAGGGUUAGAUUGUGGGGAAGAAAGAAAAGAAUAAACCAGUUCUCAACCCUGCAGCUCAGUCAGCAAACUGAGGAACAUUAAGACAAGCUUUCGGAUGUGGCAAAAAUUCCUGAUUAUACUUUUGAGAACCUAGAAAAAGUCAAAAUAGUUGAAGUCCUUUUAAAGACUUUAAGAGCCGGUAAGGUGGCUUAUUUUAGUCAGGGCCUGUGUGUGUCUAUUACAGCUGUAAUCUGAUCGCCAUGCACACAUUACUAAAGAGAAAACCCAGAAUGGCAGUUUUAAAGAAUACUGGGGUUGUAUAGUAAAGUCACACAUUGUCCUUUCUCCUAGUGUCAACACUGCUUGCAACUUUCAAAUUUCACAAAUCAGAAAAUGAGGUUGAGGGUGUAUAGAGCUUCUGUUAGUGUAGGUUCGAGAGCUAGAAGGUCAUUUUCUAAAUAGCAUAAUUUCCUCUUCUCUUAAUCUGUUUUUGAAGAAUAAGCAGAAUCAGAAAGAAAGAAAAAAAAACCUCUCAUGAUUAAAGAACUCUGAGUAUAAUAUUGUAGUCUUACUUUGACCGUAAAAUUCCUUUGUGUGUGGAAAUAUUUUUUCUUUUUUAAAAGAUUUAUUUAUUUACAUUAUGUAUAUGAGUGCUCUGUCUUCGUGCACACUAGAAGAGGGCAUCAGAUCCGUUACAGAUGGCUGUGAGCCACCGUGUGGUUGCUGGGAAUUGAGCAGCCAGAGCUCUUACCUGCUGAGCCAUCUCUCCAGCUGUGUGUGGAAGUCUUUAAGUGACUCUCUCCACUUGCUACGAUAAAACAAUGCAUUUUCCCCCCCUUGGAGCUUGGGAGAUGUUUUACUCUCCAACAGGCCGUGCAUUCAGCAUUCGUGCCCUCAUCCUAGCGUGUCUGUCACUUUUCUGAAGAUUAUAGUUCUAAUUUGUUCGGAUCACAAACGAUUAUGUCCCUGCGAGCUGAAGACAUGGCUCAGCGGAGCAUAGUUGGAUCUUCCACACAUCAGCUAAAUAAAUCUGUUCAUGACCCCAGGACUGCCCAGUGAAGACAGGUAGAUCUCAGAAGCUCACUGGCCAACCAGCCUAUCAACAGCGAGCUUCAGGUUCAAGGAGAAACCCUCUCCCAAAUAAAAUUGAGAAAGAGGGUGGCACCUGAUGUCUGCCUCUGGCGUCUCCAUGUCUGCACACCUGAGUACACACAUGUGCACACACAUACCCCUAUAUACGUAAAUUUUAAAAAGACACAAAGAAAUAUGUAUUAAAAGUUGAUCUUUUUCCUCUCUCUCUCUCUCUCUGUCUCUUUCAAGUUCUUAUUUCUAAGGAUAAUCAAUAUGAGUCAUGCUGGCUCAUGCUUUCUCUCUGCUCACAUAACUAUCAAUAACCACAUUUUUGCACAUAGUUUCUAGUAAUAAGAGUGGACUUCCACACACUAGUGUAUACUUUUUGUCUUCCACAGCACUAAGGAUUAAACCCAGGACUUCAAACAGCUCCAAGCUAUAAUUUUUUGAAAUAUAAUAAAGCAUAGACAUUCUCUAUAGAUUAAAAAAACCCUCAAUAAUAGCAUGAAAUGUUUAAUAUUCUGUGACUUAUUUCCUCAUUCACACUGUUUCAAGGUUUCUCCUGCAGCUGUAGUUCUUCUGAGAGCAUGCUCUGUACGUGUGUCUGAACACGCUAACACACAGAAGCUUUUGUUUCUGUGUGUAGGUCCCUGAGGUGGUAUUACUUUCUAAAAGCUGUAGCAGUUCACAGUCUCACUGACACUAUUUGAAAGUGUUUCCCAACAUCCCUGCCACACAGUUCACUUUAGAAACACAAACUCCCUAAUCUCCCUUUCUUCAUUUGUUUCAAAUGAUUCCUUUAUGGAUCUUGUGUCAUUAUCUCUGCCUUAAGGAGAAAAAAGAAAGCACACACUUGAACUAUUCAGCCCCCCCUUUUUCUUAUUUUUUUAUAUGUGUAUAUGUCUGUCUUCUAGAUUCAGAAAAGAAAAACUUGAGCCUAAUUUCACAGAGAUUAAUUGUUCUGUGCUAAACUAAAACAAAACACUUACUUUCUAUUUAUGAUAAAGUCAAUAGAGACCUUUCAAUCCUAAUUUUUUUCCCUUCUACUCCUUUUUUUUCUUUCCUUUUUUUUUUGGAGCUGGGGACCGAACCCAGGGCCUUGUGCUUGAUUUUUUUCCCUUCUAAACAUAUAUUAUUUGAUACAUGUCUCAUAAAAUACAAAUGUUUUAAUGGGACGAGCAGAAACUUACCAAAUACAAAGUUGGAAAUACCUAAGGAGCCUUAGGCCUACAGCACUAAUCAGGUUUCCCUCUUGAAUCCAAAACCCUGAAGACAAAGGUUCUUUGAAGACGUUCACUGCACGCUCUGCCAAAAUGAUACACAGAGGAAAAAGUGAACCAGAUAGGGAUUGGAACCUGGAGAGCCCGAAAGGCCCGCCCUCCUGACUCCUGCUGAUUUUCCUGGGAGGUGAGACUACAUUCCACAUCCCCUGCCCCUGUACUUGCUGACUUCAUUAUAGAAUUAUUUGUAUGUAACUCCAGCAGGACUCUGGCUAAUCAAUCAGCCACAGUUGCACAACUGCAGUCGUUUGUAAAAACAGAGUAACGAAAUCAAUCAGCAAGAUUUUUUGUCUUUGAGUAGGUCAGGCCAACUCUGUGUAGUCCAGAAUAACAGCAUUCUGUAACUAACCUUACGCAGAUGGGGGGACCAUCAGACUUCAUUGGAGCAGCAGACGUUGGAAUUAAAAAUUAGAAAACAUCUUGGGUUCUUGAUAGCCACCAUAGUAAAGUGGUACUUGCUUUAAUGUUAAUUCCUGCUUAAAAGGCUAGGAAGAUUCAUAAAGGGACAUCCUGUUUAAAAUAAAGACUCUUCUCUAAGGGUUGGGUCCCUGGAGUAAGGCUGAAUUGUCCUUGCCAGUGUCCCCCCAAAGAGAAGUCUGUCCAUACUGGCAGACUUCCAGGACUGAGGCAAGUUCAGGGGUUCGUGCUAGGACAACGUUGUAGAUCAGGCAAACUGACAGGUCUGCCUGCAAGAGAUCUGGACCACAUCUGUUCCCUAGGAGCCCUGAAGCCAGUGUCCUGUUGUGGUGAAGAUAAUUCCUGUCUGCGUCCUUGCACAGAAUAGGGUCCUGUCCCUCUCUCUGGCUCCAGGUAGUCAGUAGUGAUGGAGACUCCAGUACUGAAGGGCCAGAGGUUUGCUGGUGGGAAAUCUCUGUGCUGUGUCUGGGAAGAACUCUGCCCCUCCAGGCCAUGUACCUAUCUGGUCUUCUACUCCGACAGUCUUCAGAGAUACUGCAGACUCUAGUAGUGUGUGCUGGUCUCAGGUUAAGACAACUGUCACCUGGCUUGUCAACUCUGUCCCUUUCACACGCUGCGUUAAAGGCAGAGAUGAAGUGAGCAGCGCAGUCGAGAAGCACGAAUGCCCUCGUCUUUGUUGCCAGAGUCAGAUGAACUUGACAGAGGUGCUGUGCUGUGUGGAAGGAGAGGCCACGGAUCUGGAGGGAGAUAAAAGUUCAGGACUCUGGUAGGACAGACUAUCCAGGAACUGUUCUGAAUGAGUGCUGUUAACGCUGUCAGUACCAGAAACUGUCAGUCAGAUCUGACUGGGGGUGGGGGUUGCUAAGUGGUAAAUAAGGGAAGGGUAAUACUCCCACAUUUCUCACUGAGCUAAGAUAGCAUGUGCGUAACGUGUAAAGAUCAGGUUAGAUUUUAGCCAGCAUCUAGAAAGCUUCAUUUAUACUCAGUGUGCACUUGCUGAAGAAAGGACAUUAGUUAGAACAAUGCUUCAACUGUGACAAGGAGGUUUCUUAAGUGGUAUUGCUUUUCUAAUGUUUAAUAAUUAUAUUAUGUUGUUAUAUACUAUGUGCUAUAAUAAUAUAACUUUCUUUUGAGACUGGGUCUCAAUAGGUAGCUCUGGCUGGCCUGGGCUAUGCUAUGUAGACCAGGCUUGACUUUGAACUCACAGAGAUUCUCCUGCCUCUGCCUUCUAAAUACUGGGAUUAAAGGUAUAUGUCACUAUGCCUGGCCCAUAAUAUUACUUUUUAAUAAUAUCAUUAGUGGCGGAUUUUGUGUUCUAAACAGUAAAAAUCAAAAUCACACUCGCUAUGCAUACAUGCACACAUCCUUUACACACCAGGUGUGUGCGCCCUCACACACAGAUGUAGCACUUUAAGGAGUACUUCAGCUCUAACUAGGAUGCACCAAUUCCAUACUUCCUUGGACAAGUCCAUGUGUUGCUGCAUCCUCUGUCCGUGUGCUUCAUAGACACUGUGAGAGCCACUGCUUCCUCAUGAGUGCUCUGGACCGUGCCAGUUCAAACCCCACAUGACUGUGUGUGCUGUGAAGGGCAUUCGCCAUGAUGCUGGUGAUUCCUGAGAGUGGAUAUGAAUACCCACAUGGGGCAGCACCAUCGAGAAGUCUGACCUGCUGUUGGUUGGUGGCUAUGGCCAUUGCUUGUAAUUUUUUACUUGAGGUCUGUUUUACACAGUGCUGUUUUGGCUCAGCUCGGACUAUCCUGGAGUGGCAACCAGUCAGUAAGAGCUGAGCACUACUCUUGAAAUGUCUUGAAAUGUCACAAUUGGUGCUGGCAGGACAAGGCUUCCGGGUGUGCAUGGGAAGGUUCCAUCUCUGCACGCUGACCUGUGGUUUCCCUAUCAACUCAGAUACCCAAGAGUAGGGUAGAGUCCUGGCAGCUUCAUCUCCUUGUCAUCCCUGGUCCUAGUAAUACUGAAUGGAGAGGAAAACCCAGGCAGUUCCUGGGGAAAGGUAGAGUCUGUCAAUGAAAGAAGGGUAGGAGUUGGGCUUCUGAGCUUCAAGGAGAGGCCCAGUGGGAGGGCCAGGAGAGAAGAGCAGCAAUCUGUCCUCCUCAACAGGGAUGGGGAACCCCUUGUAACUGAGCUUACGGGCAGGGGUAGUGCUUAGAGCUGGUGACCUGGACCAAUCUGAGGAUUCGAAGGAAACACUCAUUGGAGGAUACCCAUCUCACGAUUACUCAGCCUCUGUGUAGGAGGCUCCACCUCCUCCUUGCCUUGCAAGUUCCCUGUUUUAUGUUUUUUGUUUUAGCUUGCAUGCCCUCCUUCGAACAUUCCCAUUGCCCUGCAGUGUGACAUAUACCCUAGUCUCUUCCGUGGUCUGUUGAGCGCCUGUCUCCCUGUUGGAUGGUGAAACGCUUGAUGGCUCGGAAGCAGGAGUUUUCACCCUUCUGUUCCCCCAGCACCAAAAUGCUUAGCACAUAGGACGUGCUCAAAGCUAUUAGCUGGAUGAGAUUGUGUGUUCUAGAGCAGUCGCUGUGGCUUGGCCUGCUUUUAAAUGCCUUAUUACCAUUGGGGUAUUGAAAUCUUAGCUACUGUUGAUGCCAGUUAAGUAGGUCAUGGUGUCAAGCCCCCCUCAGUUACAUUGGCUAUCAGUGCAGCUCUAAACUUAAUAUGACAAAAUUUUACCUACUUCAUCAAUAACAAAGAGUUGGCUGUCCCCUAAUUUCUUCUUGCCCCGGGUGCUUCUCACUUGUACUUUGCCAAGGUCUCAGAAAUUGGUGAACAACCAUUAGAGAAAUAAUGAUAACGCAGUAACAGUAAUGUUCCUUUUUUUGAAAAAACAUUUAUCUAAUUUCCAUUUUGUGUGUAUGAAUGUGGGCACAUGUAUGGCAUGCUGUGAAGGUGGAGGUCAAGGGACGACUUUUGGGAGUCUCUCCCUUUCUCCCAUAUGAGUCCUGGGAAUUGAACCCAGGUUGUGAAUUCUCCAACGGGAGAUCAUGGAGCUAAUUUGGCUCGAUUCAUGCCAGAGUUCAGUGACCGGAUAGGGAUGAGAGAGAAAUGGCCACUUCUUCCUGCAAGGAGAACUGGAUCUCAGACAUAGCUGCGUAAGGCUUAGACUCAGGGAGCUGUGGCACUGCUGGCCUUGGGGCAGUAAAUUGUGAGUUCUUGCCAGGCUUGGGGAUGAAGCCUGAAGCCUUUCAUAGAGGAGGUUCGGGCAGCCUUUGAAGGCUUCUCCACUGAUGUUAUAUCCUACUCAGCACUCUGUCAGGACCAAGAUGGCUCCUAUUGCCCCAGACCACCCUUAUAUCUGUAGAACAAUGACUUGGGAAUCCUUAGAGAUAGGAGGG
ensembl:lncRNA